AUACAUACGGAUGGCACGGGUGUUUUCGGGGUAAAAGGACCCACGGCGCCGAAGGCGUCAAGGAACACUGUGCCUAACGAGGGGAUGUGGCUGGCUUGCUAGCCGCACCCCGAGUUGCAAUUCUAUAUAAUCCACACGACUCUCGGCAACGGAUAUCUCGGCUCUCGCAUCGAUGAAGAACGUAGCGAAAUGCGAUACCUGGUGUGAAUUGCAGAAUCCCGCGAACCAUCGAGUCUUUGAACGCAAGUUGCGCCCGAGGCCUCUUGGCCGAGGGCACGCCUGCCUGGGCGUCACGCCAAACACGCUCCCACCCAACUAACUUGGGGUGGGACGCGGCAUGUGGCUCCUCGUCUCGCAAGGGGCGGUGGGCCAAAGAUCCGGCUGCCGGCCUAUCGUGCCGGACACAGCGCGUGGUAGGCGACCUCGCUUUACUAAACGCAGUGCCUCUGGUGCGUAGCCGACGCGAUGGCCCCAAUGGACCCUUUUAACGGAGUGCAUGACGCUUCGACCGCGACCCCAGGUCAGGCGGGACUACCCGCUGAA
rnacentral:rRNA from 1 species